CAGCAGCCGCCGCGGGAAUACGGAGGGUGCAAGCGUUAAUCGGAAUUACUGGGCGUAAAGCGCACGCAGGCGGUUUGUUAAGUCAGAUGUGAAAUCCCCGAGCUUAACUUGGGAACUGCAUUUGAAACUGGCAAGCUAGAGUCUUGUAGAGGGGGGUAGAAUUCCAGGUGUAGCGGUGAAAUGCGUAGAGAUCUGGAGGAAUACCGGUGGCGAAGGCGGCCCCCUGGACAAAGACUGACGCUCGGGUGCGAAAGCGUGGGGAGCAAACAGGAUUAGAUACCCGUGUAGUCCCUGUCUCUUAUAC
rnacentral:rRNA from 1 species